UACGAAGGGUGCAAGCGUUACUCGGAAUUACUGGGCGUAAAGCGUGCGUAGGUGGUUCGUUAAGUCUGAUGUGAAAGCCCUGGGCUCAACCUGGGAAUGGCAUUGGAAACUGGCGACCUAGAGUGCGGUAGAGGGUAGUGGAAUUCCCGGUGUAGCAGUGAAAUGCGUAGAGAUCGGGAGGAACAUCCGUGGCGAAAGCGGCUUCCUGGUCCAGCACCGACGUUCAGGCACGAAAGCGUGGGGAGCAAACAGG
rnacentral:rRNA from 1 species